rnacentral:lncRNA from 1 species
GUCUAAAAAGAUGAUAAUAAUUCUAAAUCUAAAUAAAGUAGAAAACAUUUUCGUCCUCAAAUCAAAAGAACAAGUAAAAUGAAAAAAAUAAACCAAACUGAAAGUUUAAUCAUCAUAUUCUUCUUCACCGUACAUGUUUGGAACUUGGUCUUCAUCUGAUUCCAAAUUAGUACCAGCAAAAUCUUCCUCUUCAGCAUCAGAAAUAAAAUCUUCAUCAUGCAGUUCUCUAAUAUCAGCCAUAUCAUCAUCAUCUGCCGCUCCUUCUGUAUCCACAGCCCCUACACCCAUAGCUGAUUCAUGCUCUCCAUCAUCACCUUCAACAAGCCAUUCUUGAGCAUGAGUAACAUCAUCAGCCAGCAAUAUAUUGAUGUUCUUCUCCUUCCGUUUUUUUUUCCUUUUUU